rnacentral:lncRNA from 1 species
CUACAAUGUAGAAAAUAGUAAAAACAAAGAAAAACUCUUAAAUGAGGAGGUGUGUCCAAACUUUUGACUGGUACUGUAUCUGCUGGGCUUCUUGCGGUAAAUUAUUUGUAAUUAUGUUCUGUCUCCCUGACCAUCCGCUCAAGAAAAAAAUCCGCCGGCGGCUGUUUUUAGUUGAUGAUCCCUGCUGUAUGUUCUACUAGGACCUUAUCCAUAGCUAAGAUUCUGUGUGUCUGUUGUUAAAGGGAUAAUUCCCCCAAAUUACACAAUUGUCCGUACCCUAUAAGCAGUCUAUUGACAAGGUAAGUCCAUGCUUUGGUUUUGUUAAUCUGGCCACUGCCAUAGACUGCUUAUGAGGUAAGGAAACCAAUAUAACAGUUUGUAAUUUGGUGAACUAUCCAUUUAAUGUUUUUAUGACUUAUUUUGGUAACUUAGUCAUUCUGAAUAUCAAAUAAUUUCAUGAUUCCCAUGAUCAAGAUUCCUUGUCGCUAUUUUAUUUGAUUCAUUUAUUGUAAUAAGUUGGUACAUGAUGCUUUCAUUAUUUGUUAUUCUCUAGAAAGAACCCUGGCUAUUGUUUUCUGUUGAUUAGAUUUUUUUUUUAAAGUAUUUAAAUUUUUUUCUCUUUCACAGCCCAAUUGUGAUUCAUGGAAUAAGGUUGUUUGGGAUAUGGGCAAGUUUAUAUUUUUGUCUGUAAAACAAACUAUUCUACUGUGUCAGGCAGUUGAGUGCAUUUGAAACCUCGAUUUUUCCCUAAGACCAGCUUUGUGCCAAGAUUUUAUGUUCUAUCUACGGUAUGUCUCUUUCGUCCCAAAUGGCACCCUAUCCCCUAUAUAGUGCACUGCUUUUGACCAGAAUCCUAUGGGCCCUGAUCAAAAGUAGUGCGCUUUAUAGGGAAUAGGGUGCCAUUUUAGAAACACCUGGAUCAAUUUGUGUGUAAUGAAUUAGCCUGGAUCCAGAUCUGUUGGUACAUCUUGCCAAUCCAUAUGGUCAUUGACAUGGCAAGAUAGCACAAACAGAUUCAGGACUCAGGCUAGCUUCUUUUUACAUCUUCUGCACAUAUUCCCUGUAUGGAUGAUUGCAUUCUCUGCCCAUUUGUCUGAAUUGUAUUUGAACUCAUUACCUCAACACUUAUCUGGGCAACUAAGUGUGCACAUUCUUCAAUUAUUAUUUUGGACAGUCAUUGAUAUUAUGCUCAUUUUAAUGUACUAUAUCGAAUCUAGGUAUGUCUUGUUGGUAUGACCAGGUUUAUUCAAAACCCAAACAGUCAUUCCCACAUCAAUGUUAUGCCGUUCAUCAUCCUAAGACCAUUGCAAUAAAUGAGGUGUUAUUUUCCCAUUCAUAGUCAAAAUCAUCAAGUUCUUUUCAUCAAUAAAAUGGCUUAAAUACA